AGAGCGAACGCUGGCGGCAGGCCUAACACAUGCAAGUCGAACGGACCCUUCGGGGUUAGUGGCGGACGGGUGAGUAACACGUGGGAACGUGCCUUUUGGUUCGGAAUAGCUCCUGGAAACGGGUGGUAAUGCCGAAUGUGCCCUUCGGGGGAAAGAUUUAUCGCCAUUAGAGCGGCCCGCGUCUGAUUAGCUAGUUGGUGAGGUAAUGGCUCACCAAGGCGACGAUCAGUAGCUGGUCUGAGAGGAUGACCAGCCACAUUGGGACUGAGACACGGCCCAAACUCCUACGGGAGGCAGCAGUGGGAAUCUUGCGCAAUGGGCGAAAGCCUGACGCAGCCAUGCCGCGUGAAUGAUGAAGUCUAGGAUUGUAAAUUCUUUCACCGGGUACGAUAAUAGACGGUACCCGGAGAAGAACGCCCGGACUAACUCGUGCCAGCACGCCGC
rnacentral:rRNA from 1 species